CAUCAGGAGCAUGGCGCUUGGUGACCUAGCUGUAUGCCUUGUGGCAUACAAAGAGUGGAGAUGAUGGAGAAGAGAGCGACUUCCUGGACCUGAAUUGACUCUUUCCAAAAGAAAGUGAUGAGGAAGAAGUUGCAGCACUGAGUGAUCUGUUGGUGGAUAAGGUCCUAGAGAUACCCAAGAACUGCUGUUCGUUCAGCUAGUGGUGCCUCGAAAGGAAGGAGGAGCUGCUUCAGAGGGAAAAGCACAAUUGCUGGAUUUGACACAGGGUUUCGUGCAGAACUUGGACCCCAACCUUUCCAAUGUGGAAGUGGCGCCUGACUCCAUGACAGCUCUUGUGGCACCAGUCAUAGUGCAGCAUCUGGUGGCCAAUGUCUCAGUUUCCAUUGCAGCAAAAAUAGAAACCACCUAAUAUUUUGAUGCUGCAGUGGAAGUUCAGACUGAGGUCAUGAGAUCAGUGCCUGUUGCCAUGCAUGUCCAGCUUGCUACCAUGCUCUUCCAUUAUUUUUCAACCUACCAGAUAGAUGCAUCACAGGUUUUGUAGUUAGCUUGGAAUGCCAUUUAAAUGCAGUCAAUUAUCUUUCUCAAUAGAAAUAUUCUAUUAAUUGUUGGUAUCAUAGCUGUGGAUGCCUGUGGUCAACAGGACAUGCAGGCUCCUAGAGCAAUCCAGCAAUCAGUCCUGCAAUUGAUGACUAGGAUUGCUGAGACACUGCAGCAGGGGAGUGGCAGUUGCUCCAUGGUGCACAAACCUACAGUCCUUUCUCAAGGUGACAGCCUUCAUCCUCCCAGUGGCAGUCUGCCAGUGCCCUUGCUGCUCCCUUUCAGCCAGCCAGUUAAGACUGCUGUUGCCCAUGUCAAGGUGGUAUAGUCCAACAGGUCUGGAAGACCCAGAGCUGCUUGAGGUCAUCCUGCAAGGCCAUCUGCAGUCUCUCUCACUAAAGGUCAGCAGCCUUCCACCAGUCAUGCCACCACCACUGGUGUAGUACUGCCUAGGAGCACUGGACCAGGCAAAGGUAUAUGCAAGAUAGGCGCUAAGAGAAUGCACAAGGCUGAACAGAUCAGUUUAGCAUGUAUAUUAGGAGCGUUGUUUGAUAAAAUUGUUAUGGAAUAAUU